AUUUUUUGACAUUGACACUAGGUUUAGAGUACUUCUUGGUUAACAAAUACCUGAGAGUAGCAUGGUCAAAAUAAACUAUUACUUUAGUGCCAAACAAAUAUGAUUGAAAUUUAUCUAAAGCAAAAAUAACAUAUAAAAGUUUUUUUUUCUAUUCUGGAAUAGUUAAUCUGAGCCUCAUUUAAAGUUCUAGAGGAAUAGUAAAUGACACGAACAACUUUGUCAAUUCUUUG
rnacentral:lncRNA from 1 species